rnacentral:siRNA from 1 species
UGUGUUUCACGUGUAUGCCUA